rnacentral:lncRNA from 1 species
GUGAGUGAUGACAUAUACGGUUUGAUAUUUUUGAUAAAAAUGCAACAAUAUUAUCUAGUAUCGAGGUGAUGAGGACAGCUAUUCAAGACCUAAUAUUCGGUACCAGUAAUAGUGGAAAUACAUGUGAUAAGGUUUCUUCUGUCCUAUAUCUCACUAUGACAGACACGUAGUUUUGAUUAUCACGAAAAUUCUAGGUGAAAUCGUUUUCCAUACUGGCAGAACAUGACUCAAAAUCGGCUGAGUUUUCGAUAUCUGAU